UACAGAGGGGGCAAGCGUUGUUCGGAAUUACUGGGCGUAAAGGGCGCGUAGGCGGCCUGCUAAGUCGAACGUGAAAUCCCUGGGCUCAACCCAGGAACUGCGUCCGAUACUGGUUGGCUUGAAUCCGGGAGAGGGAUGUGGAAUUCCAGGUGUAGCGGUGAAAUGCGUAGAUAUCAGGAGGAACACCGGUGGCGAAGGCGGAUCUCUGGGCCAUUACUGACGCUGAGGAGCGAAAGCGUGGGGAGCGAACAGG
rnacentral:rRNA from 1 species